rnacentral:rRNA from 1 species
UACGUAGGGGGCGAGCGUUGUCCGGAUUUAUUGGGCGUAAAGAGCGUGUAGGCGGCCAGGUAGGUCCGUUGUGAAAACUCGAGGCUCAACCUCGAGACGUCGAUGGAAACCAUCUGGCUAGAGUCCGGAAGAGGAGAGUGGAAUUCCUGGUGUAGCGGUGAAAUGCGCAGAUAUCAGGAAGAACACCUAUGGCGAAGGCAGCUCUCUGGGACGGUACUGACGCUGAGACGCGAAAAGCGUGGGGGAGCGAACAGG